UGGGGAAUUUUGGACAAUGGGCGAAAGCCUGAUCCAGCAAUGCCGCGUGUGUGAAGAAGGCCUUCGGGUUGUAAAGCACUUUUGUCCGGAAAGAAAUCCUUGGCUCUAAUACAGUCGGGGGAUGACGGUACCGGAAGAAUAAGCACCGGCUAACUACGUGCCAGCAGCCGCGGUAAUACGUAGGGUGCAAGCGUUAAUCGGAAUUACUGGGCGUAAAGCGUGCGCAGGCGGUUUGCUAAGACCGAUGUGAAAUCCCCGGGCUCAACCUGGGAACUGCAUUGGUGACUGGCAGGGCUAGAGUAUGGCAGAGGGGGGUAGAAUUCCACGUGUAGCAGUGAAAUGCGUAGAGAUGUGGAGGAAUACCGAUGGCGAAGGCAGCCCCCUGGGCCAAUACUGACGCUCAUGCACGAAAGCGUGGGGGAGCAAAACAGGAUUAGAUACCCCUGGUAGUCCACGCCCUAAACGAUGUCAACUAGUUGUUGGGGAUUCAUUUCCUUAGUAACGUAGCUAACGCGUGAAGUUGACCGCCUGGGGAGUACGGUCGCAAGAUUAAAACUCAAAUGAAUUGACGGGGUCAUAGCUGUUUCCU
rnacentral:rRNA from 1 species